UACGUAGGGUGCGAGCGUUGUCCGGAAUUAUUGGGCGUAAAGGGCUCGUAGGCGGUCUGUCGCGUCGGUAGUGAAAACUCAGGGCUUAACCCUGAGCCUGCUUCCGAUACGGGCAGACUAGAGGUAUGCAGGGGAGAACGGAAUUCCUAGUGUAGCGGUGAAAUGCGCAGAUAUCAGGAGGAACACCGGUGGCGAAGGCGGUUCUCUGGAACGCAACUGACGCUGAGACGCGAAAGCUAGGGGAGCAAACGGG
rnacentral:rRNA from 1 species